CAAGUCGAACGGCAGCACGGGGGCAACCCUGGUGGCGAGUGGCGAACGGGUGAGUAAUGCAUCGGAACGUGCCCAGUAGUGGGGGAUAACCAGUCGAAAGACUGGCUAAUACCGCAUACGACCUAAGGGUGAAAGCGGGGGACCGUAAGGCCUCGCGCUAUUGGAGCGGCCGAUGUCUGAUUAGCUAGUUGGUGAGGUAAAGGCUCACCAAGGCGACGAUCAGUAGCUGGUCUGAGAGGAUGACCAGCCACACUGGGACUGAGACACGGCCCAGACUCCUACGGGAGGCAGCAGUGGGGAAUUUUGGACAAUGGGCGCAAGCCUGAUCCAGCCAUGCCGCGUGCGGGAAGAAGGCCUUCGGGUUGUAAACCGCUUUUGGCAGGAACGAAACGGCGUCCUCUAAUACGGGACGUUAAUGACGGUACCUGCAGAAUAAGCACCGGCUAACUACGUGCCAGCAGCCGCGGUAAUACGUAGGGUGCAAGCGUUAAUCGGAAUUACUGGGCGUAAAGCGUACGCAGGCGGCUAUGCAAGACAGAUGUGAAAUCUCCGGGCUUAACCUGGGAACUGCAUUUGUGACUGCAUGGCUAGAGUUUGUCAGAGGGGGGUGGAAUUCCACGUGUAGCAGUGAAAUGCGUAGAGAUGUGGAGGAACACCGAUGGCGAAGGCAGCCCCCUGGGACACGACUGACGCUCAUGUACGAAAGCGUGGGGGAGCAAACAGGAUUAGAUACCCUGUAGUCCACGCCCUAAACGAUGUCGACUAGUUGUCGGGGAUUUACAUCUUCGGUAACGCAGCUAACGCGUGAAGUCGACCGCCUGGGGAGUACGGUCGCAAGAUUAAAACUCAAAGGAAUUGACGG
rnacentral:rRNA from 1 species